rnacentral:rRNA from 1 species
GACAGAGGAUGCAAGCGUUAUCCGGAAUGAUUGGGCGUAAAGCGUCUGUAGGUGGCUUUUUAAGUCCGCCGUCAAAUCCCAGGGCUCAACCCUGGACAGGCGGUGGAAACUACCAAGCUGGAGUGCGGUAGGGGAGACUGGAAUUCCUGGUGUAGCGGUGAAAAUGCGCAGAUAUCAGGAGGAACACCGGUGGCGAAGGCGGGUCUCUGGGCCGAUACUGACGUGAGGAGCGAAAGCGUGGGGGAGUGAACAGG